UUCGACAUUCGUCUAUAUAUAUAUAUAUUUUUUUGAGAAAUAGAUAGCAAGCUACCUACUUCAUUCAUUAAGUUAAAUGAACUGAGCGUACAUGUUGGAAGCAGCUAAGGCUUCCGAGAUACAGGCAAAAAAAUGGAGGGGGGGGGUGACAAGCAAAAGAUGAGGGCGGAGGCAGGGGAAGAAAAGAAAUAAAUAAAAGAAGAAAAAAAAGUAAGGAGCACUUUACAGCACGGCUGACCAGCUACUCAUGAGU
rnacentral:lncRNA from 1 species